CUGUGUGUUGUUGGGUAGGGGAGCGUUCUGUAAGCCUGUGAAGGUGUGUCGUGAGGCAUGCUGGAGGUAUCAGAAGUGCGAAUGCUGACAUAAGUAACGAUAAAGCGGGUGAAAAGCCCGCUCGCCGGAAGACCAAGGGUUCCUGUCCAACGUUAAUCGGGGCAGGGUGAGUCGACCCCUAAGGCGAGGCCGAAAGGCGUAGUCGAUGGGAAACGGGUUAAUAUUCCCGUACUUGGUGUUACUGCGAAGGGGGGACGGAGAAGGCUAUGUUGGCCGGGCGACGGUUGUCCCGGUUUAAGCGUGUAGGUGUGUGUUCCAGGUAAAUCCGGUUCACUUUAACACUGAGGCGUGACGACGAGGCACUACGGUGCUGAAGCAACAAAUGCCCUGCUUCCAGGAAAAGCCUCUAAGCAUCAGGUAACAUCAAAUCGUACCCCAAACCGACACAGGUGGUCAGGUAGAGAAUACCAAGGCGCUUGAGAGAACUCGGGUGAAGGAACUAGGCAAAAUGGUGCCGUAA
rnacentral:rRNA from 3 species